AGGAAGGAUGGAGAGUAGCUGCGCCACAGCUGCUAGGAGCUGCAGUUGUACUGGCUGUGCAAGAAACCACCUAUCGAGGUCAGGAGUCACUGGAAAAGUUGUUAGGCCGGUAUUUCUACAUCUCGCGUUUCUCAGCCCUUGCCAAAACGGUGAGGCAGCGGUGUGUUACCUGCCGACAGCAUAAAGCGAGGCAAGGUCCAGCCGUUCCACCCGGCAUACAAGCUUAUGGAGCAGCCCCCUUAGAAGAUCUCCAGGUAGACUUCACAGAGAUGCCAAAGUGUGGAGAUCUGAUUCGUAGAUUGGGACUGCCCUUCCGGAUCGGCUCAGAUAACGGGCCUGCGUUUGUGGCUGACUUGCUACAGAAGACGGCAAAGGAAUUGGGGAUCACACGGAAAUUGCCUGCUGCCUCCCGGCCUCAGAGUUCCGGAAAGGUGGAGGGGAUGAAUCGGACUAUCAAAAUAGUAUUAUUGUCUUCCGCGAUGGAUAUGUAAAACAACACCACGAGGGGCGUCAAACCACCUGCUACAUUUGAGGGAAUGUUAUCCUCUCCCCCCCUCCCCCGGCCCCGGAUAUUAGAGGCAAUAACACAGGGGUAGUGUACACCCACUGCUUUAUUGGGAGUAAUGCCAUCCUCUGCCUUCUUGGAUAUUAGGAACAAUAUCACAGUGUGCGUGUACGCCUGUCGUGAAAUUCAAUGGUAUGUCAUCUUGUGCCUCCCUGGAUAUGACGAACAGUAUCACAGGGGAUGUACAACUUCUGAGAUAUCGGGAGUGAUCUCAUCCUCUUCCCUCUGGAAGUUAGGGACAAUAUCACAGGGGUAGUGUACACCUUCUGGGACUUUGGGACUAAUAUCCUCCCACCCCCUGGAUAUUAAAAACCAUGUCACAA